AUAGCCUCUGAAAGAAACAAAAACAAGACAAGCAUUUUCUCCUGUAAAAUGGCAACCUUCAGUCUACAGUUUUUCAGGUGAUGUAUCUUUUGUCUUUUUUGUUACUCAUCUGAAAUUUUAUAACUUAACCUCCAUAAGAUGAUGCUUAACUUUAGAUAAUGGAGACAACAUUAAAUACAAUAUUUCUGUGGAUGGUAACUCUUAAAUACAUUUUCUAUUUUGUAUAAUUACACCCUUUUUCUAAGUCAGCAGCAGUUUAACAUUUUUAGCAUUUUUUUUGACCUUUUGCUCUUUUGUCCAUUCCAUUUGUGAUCUUUUUGAAAUUUAUGUAGUAUUGUGACUAAAACUUAACUUUGGUAUUUAAAUAAAAUUUAUUAAGUUGCUGUUGUAUAAAAAGAAAACAUUUUACCAUAUAGAGGAAGUAGUAUAACAAAAAGCAUAUUAGAAUGGGAGUCUCUGUGGCACCUGGGCUUUAGGCCCACUUCUAGCAAUAACUAGCAGCAAGAUCCUUGUUUAUAGCAUACUCUAGUUUGGUGAAAUAGUGGAAUGAUUUUUUGGCAGAAAUAGUUUUUGAAUAAAGAUUGCAAAAGGAAUGGCUUCAGAUUAUCCUGAAAAAAGUAGAUUGUUUCCCCUUCAUACUCCGUCAUUCACUCCAAAAACUGGAGAUGUAAUAAUUAGUACAGACUUUUUGUUUAAAAAGAAAAUCUCAGGGUUAGACAUAGUACUUAAUUUAACAAACUAUUACAAAACCCCGUGUACCUCAUAUAGUCUUAAGCACUUCAGAAACAUUAACCUUAAAAAAAUUCUCAGGUUUGGAUGUGAUACUGAAUGUUCUUCAUAGUUUUCUAAUAAAUUUGCUUACACAGAUGGCCAUACGUAUGUGAAUUUAAUAUGUUAUACAUUAUAUCUACACCCACCACUUACUUGUUUACAGUUUCAAAACAACUAAAAUUUUAUAAUUCCCCUGAGAAUAUUUCCAUUAGAAUCAAAUUUAACUCCUGUAGAGAACAAAUGUCAUGUAUGUGAGAUUAUUUAAGUCUCUUUUAGGAUUAGAUUGUUAUAUGUCCACUGAUAAAAUAUAAUCUACUUUUUUUCUGGCUAUUGUAAGUAUAUCUGACUUUGGCAGGUAUAAAGUGAUUGCCAUAAUUGAAGGAAAACCAGGAUAAUCAUCUCAGGAUUGCAGAACAUCAAGUGACCCUUCUAUUAUGAACUGUUUAAAUUUAAGGAACUGUUUAAAUUUAAGGAGAGAGAUUAAAAUCUCAGAGCAAAAAAAAUACCAUAAUUUAAGGGCAGAGUUUUUAGAUAGACUUGGCCAUAUUAUUUUCAAGCAUCAAGUAGGAGAUUUUUCUUAAGUCAAGUAGGAUUUCAGUGAAAAGUAUUUGGGCACUUCACAAAGUGUCCAAAAGGUAUCAAGGCUGAUACAUCCACUUUUUGGUUCUUUCUGUUUCCAUAGUUGGUAGGUGGCAUUCUGAAUAAGAAUAUUAAAAUAUUUCUUCCUAGGAACAAACUAACAAAAUCAGCACAAACUUUUACUCAAAAAGAAUAAAUGAUUGGGGCUUAGUUCCAUGUUCAGCAGCUUCUUAAAAAGGGAUUAAAGCAUCAGGUGGAAGGGGUCAUUCAUACUCUUCAGUAAAUUGCUGUGAAGAAACUUUGCCUGCUUGUUGAAUUGGGGGUAAAAGGGAUAGAGGUGGUAAAUUACAGAUUUAUUGAACUGGAAGGAACAUUAGAGAGUAUUGUUGAUCUUGCAGAUGAGUAAAUUCAGGUAUAAUUAAGUCUGAAUAUAAGGGUAAGGAGGGGAGGCAUUUAUUAAUCGAAAUUUUAGUAUUAUUUUAAAGUGUUCUUUAGAACUGCCACUCAGAGUUUGCUCUUAAGAUUGAGAAUGAGGAUCGGCAUUACCUGGGUACUUCUAAGAUAUACAGGUUCUUGGGUCUCAUCUCAGACCUAAUGUAUCAGACUCUGCAGUUAAACAAGGUUUCCAGGUGAUUCGUAUGCAAAUUAACAUUUGAGAAGCAGUGCUUUGGAAGACUUUCUAGGAAGGGUUGUGCCUGAGUCUUAAAAGAUGCACCUAAGUUUGCUGUUGUAGUGUUAUGGGCACUCAGAAUGUCUCGUAGAAAGGAACUAAUGGGAGGCCUCUCAAAGUAAAUGAAGGCAGAGAAACUGGUGUUUGGAGAAAACCUAAUCAAUUGGAUUUUCUCCCUCUUAGCUGUAGCAUUCAGAUUUUCUGUCAUUUAGUGGAAAAGGACCUUGGACACAGGCAACUUUAAAGCAAACUAACAGUCUGAGUGAAAAGAAUCAUCAUAGAGUUUGCAGUGGAAACUACUUAAAGUGAGGUUACAUUCUAAACUGACCUGAAGUUCUAGAUUUAGGACUGUAAGUAGGGUGGUAGAACAAUACUCGUCUAGAGCUAUAAUCAGAGAUAUUGAGGAUUUAAAAGGCAGGUAAUUCUUGUGUUGUAUCUUAAGGAUUAAAGAUUUAAAAGGCAGAUAAUUAUUUUGUUGUAUCUUAGGUUUAAAAGGCAGGUAAAUUAUUGUGUUGUAUCUUAGGUUUCCUUCCUUUAAGUCCAUGCUCUCUGUAACAUCUUAAAAUGGUUUGCCAACUAUUUAAACCUGCCUAUUUAGCUAUUCUAAUUAUGGAUUGUACUUCUGAAGAUUAAGGUUUGGAAAAUUCUAGUCAUAAAUCUAGUAGCCAUAAGGAGUAAGUCAUAAGAAAACUCUUAUAUAAAAAGUACCUGUCUUUGGAAUUUGAUCAUCUGAUCCACGUUCUCCAAUUGUGGGCUAAAGCUUUUUUGCUGCUGAUUUAAAUAAGCCUAUCAAGCCCUGUUAGCCUCACUUUAAACAAAGAAUUUAUCAACUCAUUCUCACUUAAAAUUCACUAGAAUUUUCUUAUUACAGUCAGUGCUUUAUUGUUAACAGAAAUAUUGAGAUGUGAUAGAGAAUUUUCUGUAAGAAAGAAUGAGACCGAAAUUAAAGAUUAAGAGAGAUGAAUCUUUACAAUUCCAAGCCUUUCUGAUUUCAAGUUUCAUGAACCACUGGUGCAUAGUUUUUAUGAAACUAACAUAAAAGAAAAAAAACUGCAUUAAAUUAAUAGAAACCCUAUAUACAAUGCGAAAAAGAAAAAGAGGCUUUUAUAAAUGCCUAAUAGAUUUGGGUAAUCUAAGAAUUUAUAGACAUCAAAAACAGUUCUAGACAUGCUCGUUUUAUAAAGGGACUUUUUCUAAUGUAGAGACUUUCAUUCUAAAACUGUUUUAGUUAAUAUUAGUUUGGUUAGCUCAAAAUCAGGAAAGUUUCUAUUUAGAAUAACAUAAUUAAAGGUUAAGUUGGUAUGGUGAAAUACUUUAUUUCAAAACUUUUAUGUUUUUAUUAGGAGUUUUGGUUUUAAGAAUUUAUAAUUACAUUUAUUUGUUAUAGUGUAUUCUGUCCAAUGUAUUUUCAAAAGGACUUAAGACAUUUAAAGUUUGAAAUAACCAAGUGAAACAGUUACAUAUUUAAAUAGAAAGAAGAAAGAAAGAAAAGUGUAUUUAAGAGUCAGUCUGAGGGAAACAAGUUACCAGAUUCUUGAACUAAAUUAAUUACUGUUCUUCUAGGGCUCUAAAUUAGACUCAUUAAAAUUAAGAAAGAAUAAUGGCAUUUCUGUGAAUGCCUGAAAUAAUUACAGACUGAAUAUUAAGGCAACAAAACAAGUCCUAGGUGGAUCUUGGCUUAUAGACAAUUGUUUAAUUAUCUAAAUAUCCAUAGCACAAUAUUUUAUUGUUUAAAAUAAAGACUACACUUUAAAUAUUGCCAUACAUAAGUGAUGGUGGGAAUUGUCAUCCAGUUAUAUAAAUUUGUAUUUGUCUCCCAGACGAGGUUCAACAACUUCAUAAGUGUGGGCCUAGGCCUAAUACCUUCCACAGAAAAGAGAUCUUGCAGUCAUCUGAAGGAUUUGUACAAGUAUAGGUUGACACUCAAGUAUUCUUUUCCACUUAAUAUGAAAUAUAAGUUUAACUGAAAAGAAUACUGAGUUCUGCCAUGUCCUUAGGGAGGAAAAAUAUUCUGUGUCCUCUUAAUAGUUACAUGGGGUUAUUUAAGAUAUCAUAUUAGUUCAGUAUGCCAAAUAUGACAGUUUUGGCUGGUCGACUUUCUCAUUGGCAUUUGAGAAAGCAGAGUAAUAGAGGUUAAGAGUGUGAAUUCUAGAAUCAAUCCUCCUGGGUUUAAAUCAUGUCUGCCAAUUACUUUGUAAUCUUGAACAGAUUACUUACCACUUUGUUUCUCUGUCCUCUGUAAAAUGAGGAUAAUAGUGCCUGUUUUAUAGGAUUGCUUUGUUAGGGUUUUUAUCGAUAGCAAUUAAAUACAUGUGAAGUGUUUAGAACAGUUCCUGACAAAAAGAAAACACUCAAAUGUUAAUGCUUAUUACUAUUGUUUAACAGAAACUAGCCAACUAACUCAACCAUGAAAACACUCCUGCAUAGAAACAAUAAGCCAAAU